rnacentral:rRNA from 1 species
GAUCAUGGCUCAGGACGAACGCUGGCGGCGUGCCUAAUACAUGCAAGUAGGACGCACAGUUUGUACCGUAGCUUGCUACACCAUAGACUGUGAGUUGCGAACGGGUGAGUAACGCGUAGGUAACCUACCUAUUAGAGGGGGAUAACUAUUGGAAACGAUAGCUAAUACCGCAUAACAGUAUGUAACACAUGUUAGAUGCUUGAAAGAUGCAAUUGCAUCG